GGGGGCGAUAGGUAUCGACAGGGAAGACAGAGGUAAGGAAGGCGGGUCGAGGUUCCUGGUCCUCGUUAAACACAGGGAAAAACAAUAACUGCCAACAAUAACGAAUUGGCUCUAGCAGCUUAAUA
rnacentral:tmRNA from 1 species